CCCACUGGGAGAGGAACUGUGGAGGUUGGCAAACUGGGGCUGGGACCCAGGCCAUUGGGACCUUGUCUGUCUUUCCGUCAUCCUUAGCAGGUCACCUCCACCCUCGUGCUCAGAAGAUGCUAAUGUUCCUCCAGGGACCAUGCCCAGAGGAAAGGGACAGAAGGCCUGAUGGGGCAAACUGGGCCUGUCCCCUUCAUGCUUAUAUCUCAUCAGCCAGAACCACCUCACGUGCUAUCCCCAUGUGCAGUCACUGAGAAUCACCAGGGAGGACGAAGGGCCUUGGGGUGCACACCAGCACCCCAGUCGACUGUGCCCUGGCAUAGCUGCCUCCCUGUCUCCUCCUCCAUUUUGCCAAAGGCCCCCACGUGGAGGGCAGAGUCCUGGCUUCAGCAGCCUUCCCGCUGGCCCCUGAAGAGUGGAUUGGCAUUUUAUGGCAAUUUGGCAGAAAGCACGAUGGAUAUGGCCUCUGCCACCACAGAGGGGGCAGUGGUGGGGUAAGUGGAGGCUGGGGACAGCACAACGGAUUGGAAAGCACGUAGAAGAGGCGUGGACCCCAGUCUAGAGGGGGCAAUGGGCAGGGAGAACUUCCAGGAGGCGGGAGCUGUCCUGGCUAAAACCUAAAAGGCAGACAAGAGCAAGUUGGGAAGGAAUCCAAGAGGGUGACAAGUGACACAGCUAAGGAACAGGGAGGAAUCUGGAGGGUGCGGGAAGAACCGAGGUUGGAGAAGCAGGCCCAGCGCAGGGUGUCCAGAGCUGUGUGUGUGGGGCAGGGAAUAAAACCAAGGGUGGCCUGGGGAGCAGUCCCUUGGUGCUGCGGGGUCCUUGGGGGGUGGGGGGCUGGGUGAGAUCACAGGCCUCCGCAGAGCCCCUGCACCUAAGGCCCUACUUGGAGCACCAGGGCUGGUGACCUCAGGGCAUUUAACUCUUGGUACUUGGUGGUGGUGGGGGGCUGGGGCAAGGGUGCAGGAUAAAGGAGGGGGGCCUCACGGAAGGGAGAUCAGGGUUCAGUAGAUACUCUCUUCCAUAUGAAAUAGGAGGUGUGGCUUCUGUCAAGAGGGGCCGGUACAAGAGGGGACUAACUAGGCUCUAGCUAAGGGCCAGCUAGAGGCUGACUAGGAGCCCGCCUUUCUGGUGGGGCAGGAUCAGCACAGGGUUGCGGCCAGGGUGGUCUGGGCAGGAGUGCGGCCACAGAAGGCUGGCACGAAGUCACUCGCCUCCUUCUUACCAAAUCCAGGCAUCCAGUUCUACUCCAUCAUGCCACCCGAAUCCUCUCUUUGGGCUUUAUAACCUCGAAUCUAAACCUGAUCCCUACCUACACCUAAAAAGGAAAUUUGGGGAAAAAUGAAAAUGCUAAAUUUGUUUAAAUUGUCAUAAAAGAAGAUAGUCAUUCGUAGAUUUUCAUGAGUAACCGGAAAUGUUCACAAAGCACUUUGUGUUAUGAUGGGAAAGACAAGAAGCAUGCUUAUCAGUUAUUUAGUGCCUACUCUAUGCCUUCUCUUCACUGGUGGGCAGCGACAGCCCCUUCCCACCCCCAUUCCCCCACCCCCCACCCCCCCAACCAAGCUCCCUCCCUGCCACUCAGAGCGAGAUGGCUUAGUGGACUGAAGCCCCUGAACAUACUCUUUGCCCAGAGAAAAAUCCUGUCUGCACUUGGCCCAGGAAUGGAGACACAGCCCUGGUGACCUCCCCCUUCUGACUGCCUCCCCCUUCUGACUGCCUUUUGAGCCCUGAGUGGUGGGAGAAGGUGUAGGUUUCAUUUGCCAGGGAGGUGGGGCGGGGGGGGGGAGGUUGGUGGGAGCUGGGGAAAAGUCGGUGGGAGCCCCAGGAAGCCUAGGUGAAGUUAUACUGGAUGCUACUGGAAGGGUGAGCACAGCUAGGAGAGACUGAGCCUGAGUUGGGGGGUGGGGGUGAGGAGAUGACCCAGCUCCUGGGGAGACAGUCCCAGGUUCUGCAGGGCUGUGUGAUACCCUGCCUUCUGGGGCUGCACUCCGUGGCACUUCCUACUUGGGUUUUAUGGCAAGGUUCCUUCGCCCCUGAGCGGGGCACAUCUGAGCCUAUAAAACGGGCAGCUUGUCUCUCACGGGAUCUCUGGGGAGGAAAAAAAUACUGAUAAAGCAUUUCCGAUUCUAAGAAGGAUGCCUGACAUACAGCAAGUGCUGGGGGGGACGGUGGGGAAACUGAGCAAUCACGUAGGACUACGUGGAAACACAGAUGGCCCUAACCUCUCUCCACCCCACUUCCGCACUCAGCCCACGCUUCUGGUCCCACCAAACUGCCCACCUCUCUGCAAGUGCCCCCUGCCUCUUGUGGUCUCUGCUUUCAGUUCGUCUUGGUUCUCUGGAUCUGAAAUGCCCUGGCCCUUGUUUCUUGUCACCCUCCAGCCCCCUCUCCUCCAUUUAAGGAUCUCCUCCCUGCCCCCUCCCUCCCGACAGCCUUGGGGGCGGGCUGCCAGCUCCUGGCUGGGCCCUCAGCUGCACACACACCUGUCCUGUGGAAGAAAGUUCUCUGGCUCCACAGAGGGCCAGGCGAGAACGCCCAGUCCCAGCCCUAGAAGCGGGGAACGUCUCAAUGGCCAGGAAAGGAGGCCGAAGUCUGCCCUGGUUCUUCCGAUUCCUGGACCCUGACACCCUUUCAGCCAUCCCCAAAGGGACUGCGGGGUGUGGCAGCUGGCAGCAGCUGUCCAGGGCCAGGAGUCCUUCCAACCGUCACCGACAUUGACCAUCCUAUCAAGGAGUGCCACAGUCAACUGUGUGAUGGACUGCUCUCGUCCCUCCACAUCCAUCCGUGCCUUUGCGAUAAAACCCUGCUUUUGGUGUGGAAAUGAAGUGAUUGCGCAAUCCCACAGCCCUCCUUGGCAGCCGCGUGUGGCCAUGUGUGGAUUUCAGGAAGCCCGGAAAGGGGACAAGCGUGUUCCUCUUCCCGCCCUUUCCUGCUGCCCCUGGGCUGGAAGGCGGCCAAGUGAUUGGCUGCCAUCUCUGACCACGAGACGGAGGCCACGUUGUGAGGACGGAAGAGCAACGGCUGACCACCAAGGACCAACCCCGGAUUGCCUAUAUCAAGCAUAUGAAGUCUACGGCCAUACCACCCUGAAUGCGCCCGAUCUCGUCUGAAAUAGCAUAUGAAGACAGCUACGUCACAGAUCAGGAACUGGAAGGAGGUCCAGGCACUGUCCAUCCCAUCUCCCUAUAAUACAGAUGAGGAAACUGAGGCCCAGGAAAGGAACACGACUAGGGCACCCCACACGGUGAGUUGGUGGUCUGGACUCUGGCCAGUGGGCACGUCCCACCCUGCCCACCUGUCCCCUGUCCUUGUGUUGGCCCCUGAAACAAGCUUGAGAGGUAGAUGUAGGAUAUGUGGGGUCUGCCUUGGCUGCCUGUCGGAGCUCUAGUUCUUCUGCUGCGGGAACAUCUGUUGGCUUCCAGAAAACAGCCCGGCUGACAAUCAGACCAAGAAGUCCCUGGAGGAACAAAGACCAUGUUCAGAAGGGCACACAGACAAGGCCACUCCGGGCCAGCGGCUCCAGCCGACUUUAAUCCUCCCCCCUCCUAGGUAUUAAUGAAGAUCCCUGUUACUGAAUCCCCUCCAACUUCUAGAUAGCACCCAACCCCAGACCGCCUCUGCUUUCCCGACCUCUUCUCGAAUCGCUCCGCACCAACCUGAACCCUCUAAGAGGCCUCUCUUGGGACCUUCCUUUUGAGAUUCUCUGGAGAUCCUGUAGGGCAUGUACUUUGCUGCGCAAGCUAAAUAAACCUAACUUUUUUGGA